rnacentral:rRNA from 1 species
UAUCAUAAGCGAGACA